GAGUGACGCUGUGGUUCUCGCCUGAGAUGCCUCGGUGCUCCGCUCGCCAGACAUAGGAGUCGGCUGAGGGUGCGGUGCAUGCUGGGAAAUGUGGUCUGCGGCCUGGAGGCCAUUACGGUACACAAAGGCCUCACGUCGCGUGCCUCGCCUCUCUCCUUGUCCUCAGGCGACCUCCUCCUCUGACGGCAGCAGGAGAAGGGCUCUCAGGGCGGCCCAGAAAUUCAUGUCAAGCAACACAAUUCAGUCCAGAUAUUGUUGA
rnacentral:lncRNA from 11 species